rnacentral:rRNA from 1 species
GCCUCCCUCCGCGCCAUCAGACUCUACCGAGGCAGCAGUAGGGAAUCUUGCGCAAUGCGCGAAAGCGUGACGCAGCAACGCCGCGUGGGGAAGAAGGCUUCGGGUUGUAAACCCCUUUCAGUUGGGACGAAGCUCCGUCGGUUAAUAGCCGCCUGGAGUGACGGUACCAUCACAAGAAGCACCGGCUAACUACGUGCCAGCAGCCGCGGUAAUAC